rnacentral:rRNA from 1 species
AUACGUAGGUGGCAAGCGUUAUCCGGAUUUACUGGGUGUAAAGGGCGUGUAGGCGGGACUGCAAGUCAGAUGUGAAAUUCCAGGGCUCAACCCUGGAACUGCAUUUGAAACUGUAGUUCUUGAGUGAUGGAGAGGCAGGCGGAAUUCCGAGUGUAGCGGUGAAAUGCGUAGAUAUUCGGAGGAACACCAGUGGCGAAGGCGGCCUGCUGGACAUUAACUGACGCUGAGGCGCGAAAGCGUGGGGAGCAAACAGGAUUAGAUACCCUGGUAGUCCACGCUGUAAACGAUGGAUACUAGGUGUGGGGGGACUGACCCCUUCCGUGCCGCAGUUAACACAAUAAGUAUCCCACCUGGGGAGUACGAUCGCAAGGUUGAAACUCAAAGGAAUUGACGGGG